GAGGGAAUAGUUUAAUGGUAGAGCGUGGGUCUCCAAAACCCUUAAUGUAGGUUCGAAUCCUACUUUCCUUG
rnacentral:tRNA from 1 species